rnacentral:lncRNA from 1 species
GGUGCCACACUUCCUGGUCCUCUCUGGCUGCGUCUGAGGGCCUUAGCUCUGGCCAGGGGCGCUGCAACGGGCUCAGCCUUCUAGGGGUGGCGGGUGAAGGCCUACACCUGCCCCAGGACGGCCAGGUCCACCAGCACCUGCAACAGACGGAGAACUGAAGGAGCAUCUUGAAGCUGUGGCUGUCUUGAAGGUGUCGCCGCUUGUCCUCACGAGCACCAUUUUGAUUCUCGUGCCCUGUGUGCAUGGGUGGCCAGCGUUGCUGGUAGGGCUCCUGCACGCUCAGAGUGGCCUUGGCCAGGAAGUCCAGGGUUUCCGCAGGCAGAGUGUAUGAACAAGGUACUGAGAAGAUCACAUACUGCAUGUCCUCCUAAAACCUGGUCCUGGCAUAACCUUCUAAGCUGUUUUAUUCAGGUUUGGCAGAUACAUCAAGCCAGUUCAUUAAUGCACAGAUGAUUCCUUCACAUUAAGAAAGACACGUUGGAGCACCAUAAAUGUCAAGGCAGUUAUUACACACAAAAAGCAUAAAAUGGCAACCAUCAAAAGAUUCAUAGCCAAAAGGGACUUGCCUUAUCUCAGUUGAGGCUUUGGACUUGGAACUUUGAGAAUAACCAGCAAUGUUCCAGAAAUUAUCUGCUCUCUCGCCCUGGUCUCAACUUGCAGAAGAUGGGAAGCAGAGCUCCCAGCCUGCCCAAGAUGAACAUGUGGUAUAGACAAGAAAUACACCUCUGUUCUUUUAAGCUUCUGAGAUUUUGUAUAUGUUUGUUUCUUACCAAACCACAUAUCCAAAGUUACUAAUUGAUGUAAUUUGUAUUUGGAAAGAAACUCAUUUACAACUAUUUUUAUUCUAAA